rnacentral:lncRNA from 1 species
GAACAAUUCUUGAGAAGUUACUUCGGGUUCAAGCAUGAUUUUCUUGGAGUAGUUGCAGGUAUGACUGUUGCAUAUGCUGCUGUUUUUGCCUUCACAUUUGCUUUUGGUAUUAAGGCAUUCAAUUUCCAGAAAAGAUAGAAGAGGUUACCUGCUGAAGAUUUAAGAGUAAGAUUGGAGAAGAGUUGAUUAUGAAACUACUAGCUAGUAUAUAUAGGCCAUAACAUGAAGAAGUAUAUGUUCUGUUUAUUUUUUCUUGAAUCCCAAGUUUUUGUGUAAGAGCUAAUAAGUUAUAAGUGUUGAAUGAAAAUAUAGUGGCAAAUUUGUUCCAUAUAUAGUUGGCUUGACCCUUUACCUUGCCAUCUUCUUACUAUAUCUUAUUUAUUUACUGAAAUUUGAGCACUUUGCCCCUUUUCCACACUAAAUUCAUCACAAUUUGGAGAUCUACUGGUGUGGCUAGCAGAUAUCUUGUGGAAUUAGUCGAGGUGCGCACAAACUGGCCCAGACACCACGAUUAUAUAAAAAAAAGUGGCUAGGUUUGAAACGUUGUCACCACCGCUCGUGAAAUGGAGAAGAAACGGUCAGUAUAAGGAAUUUUUUUCGAGCUCAAGUACUGGCGAGAGAUUGGUUGUAAAAGUCUUGUAUAUAGGUUGUAGCUUGAACAACUGUUUACUUUCUCCAUUCAAAUAAUAUUUGGUGUUUCAUUUUGUUAACUUUUAGUAAAACAUUGAAUAAAAAUAGUAAUUUGCAUCAUAGCAAGGUUGAAUACAACAAUUAGAAAAAAACAUGGUAUUAUAUAGUUUAUCUCCAU